rnacentral:misc_RNA from 1 species
AAAGUCGUAACAAGGUUUCCGUAGGUGAACCUGCGGAAGGAUCAUUACAAAUCAUAGUGGGUGGGUUGGGGGUUGGGCUGGGUGGGGAUUAGUCCCUACACUAGACCACCACCACCCGCCACACAUAAGCACAGGGCCGCAAGGCUCUGAUGUUCACGCUUGUUUGUUUGACAAAUUUAAUGUGCCAUUAAAAAAAGACAACUUUUAACAAUGGAUCUCUUGGCUCUU